rnacentral:lncRNA from 1 species
ACUUAUGCUUUUGAAAAUUAUUUUAUGGUUUGCCUAAAUUGAAAUAUACAUUUGCCUAUGUAAUGCAUAACCAUGAAAUACACAAGUUUAUGCUUCAAAUUUUGAUUUAAAAUAACUUGUGAUAAACUAUGAAUUCUUGAGCAUAAUGAAAAUGUUGUUUGCAUGAUAUACAUCUAUAUGAUACAUUAGAUUAUUUCUUCAUUCUGCUCUUUCAUGUAAAUUACUUGAGACUAACAAAAAAAGAGAGAGAUAAAGAAAAGAAAAUGAACAUUAUUCAAGGAAAGUAAAACCUAAGUAAAAGCAAAUACUUCAAUCUUAAAGAAAAGCAAAAUAAGCAUAAUAUAUUCGGCACAUUUGUGAGACUUGUGUGAGCAUUCUUUUGGAAGGAAUAAAAUUCGUAAUUAAUUACAUUUAAACAGGGAGACUUUGGAGUGAACAUUUUUAAAGAAAACGGUUUAACCUUUCUAUAUUGCUCAUCAUAGGGAUGGUGCCAAUGGAGAGGCUAGUGGUAGUACGCGGCACUAUUUGACCCAACUAUUCGGUGUAG